UAGGGAAUCUUCGGCAAUGGGGGCAACCCUGACCGAGCAACGCCGCGUGAGUGAAGAAGGUUUUCGGAUCGUAAAGCUCUGUUGUAAGUCAAGAACGGGUGUGAGAGUGGAAAGUUCACACUGUGACGGUAGCUUACCAGAAAGGGACGGCUAACUACGUGCCAGCAGCCGCGGUAAUACGUAGGUCCCGAGCGUUGUCCGGAUUUAUUGGGCGUAAAGCGAGCGCAGGCGGUUUGAUAAGUCUGAAGUUAAAGGCUGUGGCUCAACCAUAGUUCGCUUUGGAAACUGUCAACUUGNGUGCA
rnacentral:rRNA from 1 species